AGUCUUCCUGUUAAGAAAGGAGUGGAGGAACAUGAUAAUCAACUUGAGGCAUUAGACUCAAUGAAGCUGGAUAUGGGUCACCUCACAGAAUGCACUAAAGCUAGAAAUGAAGUCCACACUACUCUCAAGCAAGAGUGAAGCAUUUUAUGGAAAGCAAGAAGCCAAGCCAGUUGCAUCCAUCUGCCCUGGCCAACAGAUUUUAGCUGCUGCAGAUGUGCUCAAGUUUUUGGAAAUGGUGUUGUUGCUGAAUUGGUGUAAGAAUAGAAGGUAGCAAACAUGAGUAGAAAGAGGGAAAGGACAACUGAACAUGCUUAUUUUUUGUAUAGUUGAUAGUCAAAAGAUGAAAGUGAAUCAAUUUAGUUUAAUUCUUAUGAAUGAAAGGUAGUUAAUUUAGGAUAUAAUUCAUCUAUUAUGGAGAUAAUAGAUCUUUCAUCUUAUUUUUUUUAAUUCAAUUUUAUGCCAAACCUUUAUGAAUAUACUCUAAAUUAUUGCAUAGAUCCGCUUGUGAUGAGUUAUGAAUU